GACGAACGCUGGCGGCGUGCCUAAUACAUGCAAGUAGAACGCUGAAGGAGGAGCUUGCUUCUCUGGACGAGUUGCGAACGGGUGAGUAACGCGUAGGUAACCUGCCUGGUAGCGGGGGAUAACUAUUGGAAACGAUAGCUAAUACCGCAUAAGAGUAGAUGUCGCAUGACAUUUGCUUAAAAGGUGCAAUUGCAUCACUACCAGAUGGACCUGCGUUGUAUUAGCUAGUUGGUGAGGUAACGGCUCACCAAGGCAACGAUACAUAGCCGACCUGAGAGGGUGAUCGGCCACACUGGGACUGAGACACGGCCCAGACUCCUACGGGAGGCAGCAGUAGGGAAUCUUCGGCAAUGGACGGAAGUCUGACCGAGCAACGCCGCGUGAGUGAAGAAGGUUUUCGGAUCGUAAAGCUCUGUUGUAAGAGAAGAACGAGUGUGAGAGUGGAAAGUUCACACUGUGACGGUAUCUUACCAGAAAGGGACGGCUAACUACGUGCCAGCAGCCGCGGUAAUACGUAGGUCCCGAGCGUUGUCCGGAUUUAUUGGGCGUAAAGCGAGCGCAGGCGGUUAGAUAAGUCUGAAGUUAAAGGCUGUGGCUUAACCAUAGUACGCUUUGGAAACUGUUUAACUUGAGUGCAAGAGGGGAGAGUGGAAUUCCAUGUGUAGCGGUGAAAUGCGUAGAUAUAUGGAGGAACACCGGUGGCGAAAGCGGCUCUCUGGCUUGUAACUGACGCUGAGGCUCGAAAGCGUGGGGAGCAAACAGG
rnacentral:rRNA from 1 species